CAAUUAUAAGGGCUUGCAAUACUCCCAAAUAAAACCUACGAUACAGAGAACGGAGAAGGAGAGAGAGAUCGAGAGAUCAAAAAUUGCACGCUUUAAAAACUAAAACCCAAAACGUUAGACACCAUUCAAGAUGGAGAAGAGUACGAGUUUUUGAAUUGACUAAUCUCACAACCGAGCCGAAGCGUUGUGUUUCUAUGUUUCGAAAGCUUGGAACGGGUUUAGAAAACAGCGAUCAAAGAUUUUUGUGGGUUGUGAGAAAUCCACCGCCAGAUAAGGAUAAAGAUCCAAACUUCUCAUUUGGCCGAUUAAGCAAACCGCUUCACUAUUUUUCCUACCGUUCUGUCACUUCGUCGAAACCUUUACCGGGUUAAGUCUGGGCAGCCACCACCGUAGUGCAGCCGGAACUAUUACCGGAUGUAAUUUCCCCGUGAUUGGUUGGAGAUUUGGAGUUGACAGAGUACCUCUUCACUCUCUUUAAAGCAAUCUUUCACUAACACAGGUUUUAUUUCUUCUUCACCUUUCUUAUAUGAGACGCUUUGUAAUUUUUCCUAUUUGUUUUUGGACUUCUAUUACUUCUAUUAAAUACCUUUUCACACUGAUCUUAUUUUAAAAUUUUUUUAUGCCAUUUUUUAGUGUGUGCUGCCAUGAUCAGCAUGAAGAUUAGUUUUCUGGUGUUUAUUAAUUAUAUGUUGUUGAAUCACAACUGUUAGGUCCUAAGAAUGGCUUUAAGUUCAAGUUUUGUACAAGUUGCAUUGGUCCACUUAAGUUUGUAGCCUAAGAUAUAUGGUUAUUUAUAUUUGUAUAAUUGGGGCACGUGAGGAUUGAUCUGAAAGUAUGUACGUAAUCAGCUAUAUGUGCUGAUUCAAUAAUUACAGAGUAUAGCCUGCACGAUUGAAUUUAUGGCCUAUGGGACCAAGGUUAGAGUUUGAUUUGGGCCUUAUUCCCAAUGUUAACCAUGCAAUUCAUUUUGUUAUGAGUUUCCCUUGAUAAGUUGUUGAUAGCAUGGUCCUUAGAAAUCAACUAUUUUUAAAUUUUUGAUUGUCCCUUCCUACUGCUUGCAGUUCAUUUGUACGGCCAUGUUGUAGUUUUUGAGCACCAUGGUUAGUAGCCAAAAAAAAAAAAAAAAUCAAUGUUAUGUAGAAGGUAGAAGUGUUUAAGGGUAUGAAACUGCCUUGAGUACUGUUUCUUUUUUGGGAAUUUUGGUUAAGAAGGCCAAUGAUAGGAGGGUUUAAACAUUUCCUUGCAAUUAAGGCCAUUGCGACAUGUAGGAAAACUCACCACUUAAAAAUCUGCCACGUAUAGAGUUUAAUUAGAAAAGUUACACCUAUGAAAAACUCAAAACCAAACGAUAAACCCAUUUGUUCAAGACCCAAAAAAAAAAAAAAAACCUUCCCUUCCUCUCUCAAUAUUCACUCUAAACUGACAUUUGCUAUUCCACUUUGUUCCGUUUCUUCUUUGCAAUUUCAUAUUCACAAGGUUAGCAUAGCGUUCUUAAUUUUCCUCUUUCAUAUACUCUUCCUGUUGUGUAAUUUAGCAAUUUUCUGCCACCUGAAGGAUAAACUCAUCAGUUCAGCCACUUUCUUACAGUUUGCACAUUCCAUUCUGAACCAACAGUCGGAGGAAAAAGAAAACCCAAAAUCAGCCUCUUUAGAAAUUGAACAGAGUCGUUCUCUUUGGUCAAGAACCAAUAGCAUCUCUUACAAUCUAAACCAUUUUGUGACUUUCAAAUCCUCCAAAAAUAAAAUAAUUAUUGUCCUAUAAAUACAACUUAUCCCAUGAUUUCAAACUCUAUUGUACAUUUUUGUCUGAUCUUUCAUUGAACAAAUGUUGAUU